rnacentral:rRNA from 1 species
UUGAGAGUUUGAUUCUGGCUCAGAACGAACGCUGGCGGAAGGCUUAACACAUGCAAGUCGAGCGCCCUGCUUGCAGGGAGCGGCAGACGGGUGAGUAACGCGUGGGAACGUGCCUAUUGGUUCGGAAUAGCCCCGGGAAACUGGGUUUAAUACCGAAUGUGCCCUUCGGGGGAAAGAUUUAUCGCCAAUAGAUCGGCCCGCGUUAGAUUAGCUAGUUGGUGAGGUAAAAGCUUACCAAGGCUACGAUCUAUAGCUGGUCUGAGAGGAUGAUCAGCCACACUGGGACUGAGACACGGCCCAGACUCCUACGGGAGGCAGCAGUGGGGAAUCUUGGACAAUGGGCGAAAGCCUGAUCCAGCCAUGCCGCGUGAAUGAUGAAGGCCUUAGG